GUUCACAGGCGCCCGGAAGCUCGCCCACCUUCACGAAAGUGUGUGGAUGGGUGGGUUCGCGCACCUGAUGACAUGCAACGAUCUCCUAAUACAGCAUGCUGGAAGCUGCACAGGGGAGUUGGCAAGGGGGCACAAGGAAGCAAUGCCCCGUUGCUGUCCGUAGGGUGAACGCAAGGCGGCUCGUGGCGGCCGCAAUUUCUACGCUGCGCUUUUCAUCUCUGAAGCCAUGCGCAGCAGCGUGCAGUCGUCAUGUUCAGAAAAGCAGUGCAAAGGUACCCGAAUAAGCUGUACAACAUUGCUGCAAGGUGCCUUGGUAAACCAGUACCCAGCCCUGAGGAACAGAUUGGACUCUGGCUAUAUGCAAAAGGCGUGAGCGCCAUCAUGGUUCUACCAUUUCUUGUCAAUGAGCGAGGGGACGACAUGUUCACAAAAAUGACGCCAGAACAGGAGUUUGCCCACCCCACAUUGCUGUACACUGGCGACAACCGCAUCUCUUCCAAGGCCCUGUGUGUGAAGUGUGGAUAUGUAUGUGUAGAUGUAUUGGACUUCACUUCCGGUGUAACGGGGUUAUGUUUAUUUUCUAUGUACUGGGGCUUUCAACAUCGAAUACAUCAGCUCUGCGGAGCAGACACUCUCAUUGCUGCAACACAUGAUUGAAAUGAAAACGAAAACGACAAAACUAGGCGCCAAGUCCCAACAGCUUUAAUAGCACGGUUAACUGCUACAACUAACAAAAUCACAGCCAGUACUGAGCAGGCUGAGAAAUCUGACUAAGCUGCUAAAGUCGUCUUGAAAUGCACCUUCCUGUAUGCACUUAGCCUUUUUUGUUUCUUUUUUUUAACGCUCAGGCUAUUUUGGUGUUCGUAGCCUUGGAUUAUGCAGCUGAGUAAUACUGACAAUAGCUAGUCAAACCUCGAAAACUUUAUUGUGUUUAAAUGUUAUUCAUAGUUUUUGUAUUAUGGGACAUUAAGCAAACACUCACCAACAAUAUUUAAAAAAAUAGUGAAAUUACAAGAAAUUGUAUUUCGGAGCCAGUAUGGGUCCUUUGUUCCCAAAUGACAGCAGAGGCAAUGGUUUGGUUCUGUACAGGUGAGAUGGCGGAGAGCGCAUGCAUAGAUGACAGGCAGAUUAUCGUGUGACCUUCCUAUCGCUUAGCACGUCAUCUGAAUAUGCAGUGAUUUUAGUAGUAAUUGCAUUGGUAAUAUUGCAGUGGCAAUUAUGGAUGCCUAGUGCUAGUGUAUAGAAGGCCCUGUUUUCUCCUGGUGUUCGGAUAAUGCGUCGGAAAUAAGGUUGCUUUUAAAGAGCUAGUGCUUAUCCUGCUUUGGGUGCUUCUUAACGUUGCCAGAUUGACAGUGAAUUACAUUUUUUGCAUGUGAAUAUGUACAUGGAGCCAAGUUCAAUCUUCCAAAGGGAUCCUUCAUGUACACCAGUUCAUCACAUAGCUUGCUGGAAGGGACAUGUGCCACCCAACCAUUGCAGUCAUUCAACACUCUGGAAAAAGUCUCGCUCAUGCCACAUGCAUACAGGAUGGUAGCACGCUUGCUUUUCUUGCUUACCACUUAGCGGAUGGGCGCUGAGGCACGAUGUUCUUGCUCACUUGGCAGUUUUAGCGGCUGGCCAUUACAUUGCGUGUCAUUUAGCAUCAAGAUCAACUCUGCUUUUUGCCUUGUAUGACUUGAGCAAAGACCGAAAAGCGAGGUUACUAGUGAUGAGGCGGCCAACCUUUGUGGCCCUUGUGGUGUACAGAAAGAACAUCUAGGUAUUUUGACAUGUGUGAGUUUGCGAUGAACCCUCGUGGCAAGGCCAUUGGUGAUUCGUUCCUUGAGAACAUCAAUGGAUGCAAUGUACCUCUUCUCUCAGGCUCUUCGUGUGCUGUAAACUGAUGCUUUCCUUACAAAGUUAAGUGCUUUUUCUGAUUGCUAUAUGUACUCUCAC